rnacentral:rRNA from 1 species
CUUGGUCAUUUAGAGGAAGUAAAAGUCGUAACAGAGGUUUCCGUAGGUGAACCUGCGGAAGGAUCAUUAAUGAAUUUUGAAAGGGGUUGUAGCUGGCCUUUUAGGAGGCAUGUGCACGCCCUGCUCUUCCAUUCUUACCCCUGUGCACACUCUGUAGGUCGGUUUGAGCGGCUCUCUCUAACGGGGGAUGCUGUUUGGCCUUCCUAUGUUUUAUAACAAACUCUGUAAUGUCAUAGAAUGUCAUCGCGUAUAACGCAUUAUAAUAUAACUUUCAGCAACGGAUCUCUUGGCUCUCGCAUCGAUGAAGAACGCAGCGAAAUGCGAUAAGUAAUGUGAAUUGCAGAAUUCAGUGAAUCAUCGAAUCUUUGAACGCACCUUGCGCUCCUUGGUAUUCCGAGGAGCAUGCCUGUUUGAGUGUCAUGGAAUUCUCAAUCCUCUUAUCCUUGUGGUGAGAUUGGGUUGGAUUUGGAGGUUUAUGCUGGCUUGUAACGAGUCGGCUCCUCUUGAAUGCAUUAGCUUGGACCUUUGCGGACCAGCUUUUCGGUGUGAUAAUUGUCUACGCCGUGGGCUGUGAUGCUGUUUAACAUGCUUCGGCGUGUUGGGGUUCUGCUUCUAAUGGUCCCUUUGGUGGGACAACUUACCUUUGACCUCUGACCUCAAAUCAGGUAGGAUUACCCGCUGAACUUAAGCAUAUCAAUAAGCGGAGGAAAAGAAACUAACAAGGAUUCCCCUAGUAACUGCGAGUGAAGCGGGAAAAGCUCAAAUUUAAAAUCUGGCGGUCUUUGGCCGUCCGAGUUGUAGUCUGGAGAAGUGCUUUCCGCGCUGGACCGUGUACAAGUCUCCUAUGUUUAACAUGCUUCGGCGUGUUGGGGUUCUGCUUCUAAUGGUCCCUUUGGUGGGACAACUUACCUUUGACCUCUGACCUCAAAUCAGGUAGGAUUACCCGCUGAACUUAAGCAUAUCAAUAAGCGGAGGAAAAGAAACUAACAAGGAUUCCCCUAGUAACUGCGAGUGAAGCGGGAAAAGCUCAAAUUUAAAAUCUGGCGGUCUUUGGCCGUCCGAGUUGUAGUCUGGAGAAGUGCUUUCCGCGCUGGACCGUGUACAAGUCUCCUAAACU